rnacentral:lncRNA from 1 species
GGUGGAGAGGGGAUGGGGGAGGUCUCAGGUCCUCUUGCUCACCCAUCAGCUGUGUAGUGUCUGAAGUGAUUAAGGAGCUUGGGGAGAGCCCUGAAUGGGAAGAAAUGGGUUCCAUGUGCAGCAAGCCAGGAGAGAUUUAGGCAACGAGAACCUCCAGUUCUGUCUUAGGGUUCCCAGCUUUCUCCUUGUCCUGAGGGAGCCGCUGAGCCUGUGGGAGAUGAGGGGUGCCCAUUCCCCAGUGCUUCUCACCCUCCCCCACCUGCCCUCCUGGGGUACCUUUGUCUGCCACUUGCAUCCUAUUGGAAGCUGUCCCCAAGUGCGUGUUAGGCAGGUGGCAGGUGCUGGAGCAGAGUGCACCACCCUCCGGCGAUCACUGUGAGUUGGGGUAAGAGUGGGGUGUUCCUGCCAGCCCCAGGAGAGGGGAAAGCAAGCCCCCGUCCACCCUUGUGGGUCUCUGCUCCUGGAAAAGGUGCUCUAGCAGGCUCAUCUGUGUGAGUCACUGUCUUCCAUGUGGGGGUUUCAUUCUGUCACCAAGGCUGGAGUGCAGUGGCGUGAUCUUGGUUCACUGCAACCUCUCCCUCCCGGACUCAAGCCAUCCCCCUGCCUCUGUCUCCUGAGUAGCUGGAAUUAUAGAUGUACACCACCACACCUGACUAGUUUUUUAAUUUUUUGUGAAGACGGAGUUUUGCAGUGUUGCCUGGGCUGGUCUCAACUCCUGGGCUCAAGAAAUCCACCUGCCUCUGCCUCCCAAAGUGCUGGGAUUACAGAUAAUGCUGGAAGCCAAGCUUGCACAUUCUAGGCAGCCAUUUGGAAGAUUCUUCUCUGCGCAUGACCAGCUGAAAAGGAAAAACCCCGAAACAUUGGCACUGUGAUUUCUCCAUGUGAACAGUUUAGUUCGCCGAGGUGGACAUGCCUCAUUCAUGCUUAUGGAGUGACCGACCAGCCUUUAGUGACACCCCCUGAAAUGUGAGUCAUCCAUGGGUCACUAGUCAUUGGAGAAGAGCCCCUUAUACAAAACUUGGAGCUCAGACCACAAACAACAACAACAAUCCAAAAAAUAAAAAAAUGAAAAAUUAGGAGCAGAGACUAAAUGGAAAGAUGGAAAUAUUAAAAUAAAAAUAUUAUUUUAAAAAUUAA